rnacentral:rRNA from 1 species
AUUGAACGCUGGCGGCAGGCUUAACACAUGCAAGUCGAACGAGUGGCGGACGGGUGAGUAAUGCUUGGGAAUCUAGCUUAUGGAGGGGGAUAACUACGGGAAACUGUAGCUAAUACCGCGUACCAUAGGAUGAGCCCAAGUGGGAUUAGGUAGUUGGUGAGGUAAAGGCUCACCAAGCCGACGAUCUCUAGCUGGUCUGAGAGGAUGACCAGCCACACUGGGACUGAGACACGGCCCAGACUCCUACGGGAGGCAGCAGUGGGGAAUAUUGCGCAAUGGGGGCAACCUGACGCAGCCAUGCCGCGCGCAUUACGGAAGCCGCCGCGGUAAUUC